rnacentral:rRNA from 1 species
GGGAACAUACCCUUUUCUACGGAAUAGCUCUGGGAAACUGGAAUUAAUACCGUAUACGCCCUACGGGGGAAAGAUUUAUCGGGGAAGGAUUGGCCCGCGUUGGAUUAGCUAGUUGGUGGGGUAAAGGCCUACCAAGGCGACGAUCCAUAGCUGGUCUGAGAGGAUGAUCAGCCACAUUGGGACUGAGACACGGCCCAAACUCCUACGGGAGGCAGCAGUGGGGAAUAUUGGACAAUGGGCGCAAGUCUGAUCCAGCCAUGCCGCGUGAGUGAUGAAGGCCUUAGGGUUGUAAAGCUCUUUCACCGAUGAAGAUAAUGACGGUAGUCGGAGAAGAAGCCCCGGCUAACUUCGUGCCAGCAGCCGCGGUAAUACGAAGGGGGCUAGCGUUGUUCGGAAUUACUGGGCGUAAAGCGCACGUAGGCGGAUAUUUAAGUCAGGGGUGAAAUCCCAGAGCUCAACUCUGGAACUGCCUUUGAUACUGGGUAUCUUGAGUAUGGAAGAGGUAAGUGGAAUUGCGAGU